UGCUGCCGGGAGGAGUUGGGAGCGGGGGGGAAGGGGGCAGCUGCCAGUGGACAUGGCGGCGGGCCGCAGCAGGGCUGUGUUUGCCGUCUUUGGCGUGCUUAGUGUUUGUGCGGUCAGCGGCUCUGGGCCCGUGGCUGAGGGGGACACGGGCGGGGAGGCGGAGUGGACGGAGCCUUGGGAUGGUGCGGUUUUCCGGCCGCCCUCAGCGCUGGGCGCGGUGGGGGUGGCGCGCAGUCCGGGGACCCCCCGGCCAGGGAGGGAGGAGGCGGUGGACUUGCCCGUGCUGCUGUGGUGGAGCCCAGGGCUAUUUCCCCACUUCCCUGGCGACUCGGAGCGCAUCGAGUGCGCGCGCGGUGCGUGCGUGGCGUCCCGGGACCGAUGGGUGCGGGGGCACUCGCGGACGCGCGCGCUGCUCUUCUACGGCACUGACUUUCGCGCGUCGGAGGCGCCGCUGCCGCGCCUGGCACAUCAGAGCUGGGCGCUCCUGCACGAGGAGUCGCCCCUCAACAACUUCGUGCUGAGUCACGGUCCGGGCAUCCGCCUCUUCAAUCUCACUGCCACCUUCAGCCGCCAUUCUGACUACCCGCUGCCGCUGCAGUGGCUGCCCGGGACCGCUUACCUGCGCCGCGCCGCGCCUCCGCUACAGGAGCGCGCGGAGUGGCGCCGUCGCGGCUACGCGCCGCUGCUCUAUCUGCAGUCCCACUGCGACGUGCCUGCGGACCGGGACCGCUACGUGCGCGAGCUGAUGCGUUUCAUCCCGGUGGACUCCUAUGGGAAAUGCCUGCAAAAUCGGGAGCUGCCCACUCCGCGCUUACAGGACACAGCCACAGCUACCACCGAGGAUCCAGAGCUCUUGGCCUUCUUGUCUCGCUACAAGUUCCACUUGGCCCUCGAAAAUGCCAUCUGUGAUGACUACAUGACAGAAAAACUGUGGCGCCCCAUGCAUCUCGGGGCUGUGCCUGUGUAUCGCGGCUCUCCCUCUGUGAGGGACUGGAUGCCCAACAAUCACUCCAUCAUCCUCAUUGAUGACUUUGAGUCACCUCAGAAGUUGGCAGAAUUUAUUGACUUUCUGGACAAGAAUGAUGAGGAAUACAUGAAAUACUUGGCAUAUAAGCAACCUGGGGGCAUCACCAACCAGUUCCUUCUGGAUAGUCUGAAGCAUCGGGAGUGGGGAGUGAAUGAUCCUUUGCUGCCUAACUACCUCAAUGGUUUUGAGUGUUUCGUCUGUGACCAUGAACUGGCUCGGCUGGAGGCCGAGAAAGCCCACGCAGCCUCUCCUGGGGACAUCCCUGGCCCUGAACCUCACAUUGCCCAGCCCUCACACAUGGACUGCCCGGUGCCCACACCUGGCUUUGGCAGUGUGGAAGAGAUUCCUGAGAAUGACAGCUGGAAGGAGAUGUGGCUGCAAGAUUACUGGCAAGGUCUGGACCAGGGGGAAGCUCUCACUGCCAUGAUCCACAACAAUGAGACAAAGCAGAUGAAAUUUUGGGAUUACCUACAUGAGAUCUUCAUGAAAAGGAACCAAAAUCUCUAAUUACCCUUGCAAGAGCCUUUAACUUGGUAGAGCUAAGGAGAUGGAAGUCCUUAUUCUACUAUGGGACAUGAGGGGCACCUGCUGCACAACCUUAAUGAACACUGUCUUAUCAUGAGUUCAAGGAAUUCCAGUUUCAGCCACUGAUAUUUUAUUUUAAUGAUGUGUAUCCAGUGUCUCAGCUUGUGGUAAUAGGGCCUGUCCUCAAGGAGAGAUGGAAGCCUCCAGUUCUUGGGAUUAGUGGGAAGCAAAAGCCUGAAACACCCACUUGUUUCAAAGUGCUGAUUGAACAGAAUUUUAAAAGAUCUGCAUCUUUUUCUAGCCAUUCCAUCCUCUCAACUGUGAUUGGAACAACUCCUUGGUACUUGUCUAAGAAUGAGGCACUGGGAUUCAGUAAGACAGGGUCCCCUCUCUAAUGGUGCUUACAUUUUAAAUGGAUGUCGCUGGUAAGGAAGGCCGUAAAUAAACAAUAAAAAUGAACAAGGUAAUUCAGACUGUGAUAUAUGCUAUGAAAAAAAUGUAACAGCUUGAUGAUGGGGGGAUGGGGGACGUAAGGGAAGGCCUCUCUGACAGGAACUGAGACUCGACAGAAGAAAAAGAACCAGUCAUGCAGAGAUCCAAUGGGAAGAUUAAACAUCUGUGAUAAAUGAUUUUAAUUUUAGCACACUAAAUUUUACAUAACCAAGUAAAUAUUGCUCCUCCAAAGUAGUCCUCUUAUGAACUAAAAGCUGUUCAAGUUACGCUUCCAUUACCAGAAACAUUUCUUGAAGCUCAUUUCUAAAUGCCCUGAGAAUCCCUGGCACAUUUUUGAGUUUUGUAAACAGCUAAAAGUCACUUAGAACCAAGUCUGAUGAAGCUAGGCAUCACAACUGAAGGGUCAAGUCUAUUAAUAAGAAUGAUACCACCAAGUAUCUUCACAGGAUUGGAGAGAAGAUUAAAUUAGACGAUAAAUGCCAAAGUGCUUAAAACUCACCCUACCCAAUGAGAUCAUUACAAAGGAGAGCAAAGAAUAUAUAGUAGAAUAUAUAAGUAGUAGCAACUUUAUUUUUACUUAUUUAUUUUUAAGUAGGCUCCACACCCAUCGUGGAGCCCAAUGCAGGGCUUGAACUCAAAACCCACAGUUCAAGACCUGAGCUGAGAUCAAAAGUGGGACGCUUAACUGACUGAGCCACCAGGUGCCCCAGUAGUAGCAACUGUUUAAAUGAGCCUAACUUGGGGCGCCUGGGUGGCUCAGUCGGUUAAGCAUCUGCCUUCAGCUCAGGUCAUGAUCUCAGGGUCCUGGGAUCAAGCCCCACAUAGGGCUCCCUGCUCAGCGGGGAAUCUGCUUCUCCCUCUGUGCUCUCCUUCUCUCUCUCUCUUUCUCAAAUAAAUAAAUAAAAAAUCUUAAAAAAAAAAAAAUGAGCCUAACUUUUCUUUACGGUUUUGGGGUGGUUUUAAAGGUCGUAAGAUCCAACAGUUCUUGAAAACUCGUCAAAAUAUAAUAAGAAUCUGUCCCAACCUAACAUCUUAAAGUCUCAUAUUUUGAUUCGCUCCCAUACUCUGCCCUUGCCUAUGUCAAUCAUCCUCUAGUUCAGCCGGCUACCACCAUAAACGAGUGUCCUAUUUAUCGGGUCCUUUCCAGGAUGUUCCCGGCCUAAUACCGCCCGGAGCCCUCAGGGCCCGGUAGCCCACAAAAGAGCGGUCUCGGUCAGCGGACGAGC